rnacentral:rRNA from 1 species
UACGAAGGGGGCUAGCGUUGCUCGGAAUCACUGGGCGUAAAGGGUGCGUAGGCGGGUCUUUAAGUCAGGGGUGAAAUCCUGGAGCUCAACUCCAGAACUGCCUUUGAUACUGAGGAUCUUGAGUUCGGGAGAGGUGAGUGGAACUGCGAGUGUAGAGGUGAAAUUCGUAGAUAUUCGCAAGAACACCAGUGGCGAAGGCGGCUCACUGGCCCGAGUACUGACGCUGAGGCACGAAAGCGUGGG